GCGGAAGUGGCGGAAUGGCAGACGCGCUAGCUUCAGGUGCUAGUGUCCGAAAGGGUGUGCGGGUUCAAAUCCCGCCUUCCGCA
rnacentral:tRNA from 1 species